AAUUAAUAAGAGCUUCAGGAAGAAAGAACAGAGAAAAAAGAAGGGCUUGCGAACAGCUGAGGUUCGUGGAGGGUGGGGCAUCCAGGCAGGGCAUGGAAGCUCCGCGUCCCUUCCCCCAUCCCUCGCCCUAUUUAUCUCUUCAUCUGAGCUGAAAAGCACCAAGGCUUGGCCUUAGCAGAAGGUUCAUGAAGGGCUGGGUCCCAACACUGGUGUGAAGAGAGCUACCUGGGAGGCUGAGAAAAAUCACAUGAAGGAGAACUCAGCCCAUUCAUCUUGCUUGGAACUAAGAAUCUUGAGUGAUCCAUUUCCUUAAAAUUCAGGCUUCCCUGGACCCCAAGAAAGAAAAGUGAGUUUUCCAGCACUUGUGUUUAUAGGACUCUUGCUACGAAACUGUUUUCAGAAUCAAAAAUAAAGCAGAUGGCCAUCUGAGACUGGAUACCAGAUUGUUUAUAUCAAUGAGUUGACCCGUGAAACAAAGAAGCAGAGGAACAUAAGCAGAUUACAAUGGAUGCUGGAUUUGGACAAGGAAUUUUUGACGUGAAAAUCUCUUCGAAUCAGCCCUUCCUCUGAGGGGUUGGGCUGGGAUGCAGAGGUCAUUUUUUGAUCAGAAGAGACCAUGAGGGGGAAGGCAGAAGAGAAGACAAAGGAUAGAAGAGAGCUGAGACACUGGUGACACAAUGGCCACUGCCCCUCAGGACCUCACAUUGCAAUCAUCUGUGCGAGAAAAGUAAACCCUAUGUGGUGCAAAAAAAUAGAAAAGGAGGAAAGAACUGAUGUAAGAACAUUUCCUGUAAUGAGAGAUGAAUCUCCAGAUUGAAAGGGCCUGUAGAACACCCAGCACGAUGGAGGAAAAUCCCUGGACCGAGAAGCAUCAUCACGUUUCACAACCUGUGGAAUCAGCGCCAGUGGAGCCCACUGUGUGGCUCAAAGACUUAGGAACAUCAGGGCCUGGAUACCUCGUGCGUGUGGACCACUUACCCAGCUGCUCCCACUGACUGAUCCAAGCACGAUGAGGUUGAGAUGAGACAAUUACACCCAGAAAAGUCAGAGGGGAAAACGCUGCAUUAGCAUUUGGUUCUAGUCAAUAUCUUUGGAUUUCAAGAACCAGAAGAACUUAAGGGAGGUGGGGGCUAGGGAGUUGGAGGUACUGGUGCUCUAAGAAUCAAAAAUGCUGCAGGACUGAGCCAGAAUAUAACUAUAAAGUCUUUGGUAAUUGGGGUCAUGCCUUCCAUGUCUCAGGGGUUACAUUUUCUCUCUCUCCCCUGCUUCUUUCCAAGCAUCUACUCCCUCUGGCUAUUCCACCUUGAUGCAUAAGCUUGCACAGGGUUCAAAGUGGCCAUCGACCUGCCAUGACUUUCUGUUCACCCACCUCCUUCUUUGGCUCCUCUCUGAGCUUGCCAGUUAGGUGUAAUUGCAAUUGCAGUUCAAUGACUAAAUGAUAAUUCAUCCCCAAGCCUUGAGACUGGCAAUCCUAAGGGAGAGAGUAUAGUGGUUCUAAUCAGCUAUGACAGAAAAAGAAGAGAGGGAGUAGAAGGGUCAGGAGAGCAGGGGUAGCAUGGAAAAGACCCUCUGACAAUGCUCUGACAGUAGGCAUGCUGAUCACAUGCAAACUUAUAAGCUAGUCCAAAGUGAUGACCACCGACGGGAAGAAGCAUGGGGUCGGGCAAAACUUGCAUGGGCUCAUUUAGUGUUGCUGCUGCAGACAUGUACUGAAGUAUUGAUCUUCAGACUUUCACAACUAGCCAGUCAGUUUGUGCACCAUCCCUGAGUGGUCUAAUUUUCCUCCCUGGCCCCUAUGCUCCUUGAACCCAGCACUUGCAUCUUUUUUGUGUUGCAUGAAAUGAAGAACUAAAUGCACUAUGUUUACAUUGUGUAUUUACACUUUGUACCAAUAAGUGCAUAAUUGAUUGUCUAGUCUGAGUGCUCAUACACAGUUGUUUCAAUAGAAACCUGAUAUUAAUUGAUCGAUUAGCAAAGUAUUUCACAGUCUAUAUGGAUAGUAUCUCUGAUUUAAUAAAACCCCAACUUUUUAUGUAAUGUUUUUUCAUUUUUCUCAUUAAAGGCAUCAAGAAAAGGUUUGUGCAUCCACUAAUUGAAAAUAGAUGCACAGAUAACAGGUUGUUUUUUAGUUAUCUUUCUAUGACUUUGUUGAGAUAAUGUAAGAGUAUAAACUAUAAGCACUCUAAAACACCAGACUUCACUUUGGGAGGCCGAGGCGGGCAGAUUGCCUGAGCUCAGAAGUUUGCGACCAGCCUGGGCAACUCGGUGAAACCCCAUCUCUACUAAAAUACAAAAAAACUUAAUCAGGCGUGGCAGCGUGUAGUCCCAGCUACUCGGGAGGCU
rnacentral:lncRNA from 1 species